rnacentral:rRNA from 1 species
CUUGGGUCCGGCAUAACCCCGGGAAACUGGGGAUAAUUCCGGAUAACGCACAUAUGCUGGAAUGCUUUAUGCGUCAAAUGGAUUCGUCUGCCCAAGGAUGGGUCUGCGGCCUAUCAGGUAGUAGUGGGUGUAAUGUACCUACUAGCCGACGACGGGUACGGGUUGUGAGAGCAAGAGCCCGGAGAUGGAUUCUGAGACAUGAAUCCAGGCCCUACGGGGCGCAGCAGGCGCGAAAACUUUACAAUGCGGGAAACCGUGAUAAGGGGACACCGAGUGCCAGCAUCAUAUGCUGGCUGUCCGGGUGUGUAAAAUACACCUGUUAGCAAGGGCCGGGCAAGACCGGUGCCAGCCGCCGCGGUAACACCGGCGGCCCGAGUGGUGAUCGUGAUUAUUGGGUCUAAAGGGUCCGUAGCCGGUUUGGUCAGUCCUCCGGGAAAUCUGACGGCUUAACCGUUAGGCUUUCGGAGGAUACUGCCAGGCUUGGAACCGGGAGAGGUAAGAGGUACUACAGGGGUAGGAGUGAAAUCUUGUAAUCCCUGUGGGACCACCUGUGGCGAAGGCGUCUUACCAGAACGGGUUCGACGGUGAGGGACGAAAGCUGGGGGCACGAACCGGAUUAGAUACCCGGGUAGUCCCAGCCGUAAACGAUGCUCGCUAGGUGUCAGGCAUGGCGCGACCGUGUCUGGUGCCGUAGGGAAGCCGUGAAGCGAGCCACCUGGGAAGUACGGCCGCAAGGCUGAAACUUAAAGGAAUUGGCGGGGGAGCACAACAACGGGUGGAGCCUGCGGUUUAAUUGGACUCAACGCCGGACAACUCACCGGGGGCGACAGCAAUAUGUAGGCCAAGCCGAAGACUUUGCCUGAAUCGCUGAGAGGUGGUGCAUGG